ACCAGGUUGACCUCAGACUCAGAUAACCUGCUUCUGACUCCUGAGUGCUGGGAUUGAAGAGCUGGGGACCGAACCCAAGGCCUUGCGCUUGUUAGGCAAGCACUCUACCACUGAGCUAAAUCCCCAACCCCUUGCCGUAACUUUUAAUAAAUGUGUAAUUAACAAACCAGCCUU